UAACUUUACUCAACGGCGAAA
rnacentral:piRNA from 1 species